GACGAACGCUGGCGGCGUGCUUAACACAUGCAAGUCACGGGGGCUGGAGCAAUCCAGUAACCGGCGAACGGGUGCGUAACACGUGAGCAACCUGCCGUACUCAGGGGGAUAGCCGGCCCAACGGCCGGGUAAUACCGCAUACGAUUCUUCGGGGGGAGUCCCCGGGGAAGGAAACCUCUGGGGGAGUACGAGGGGCUCGCGGCCUAUCAGCUAGUUGGUGCGGUAACGGCGCACCAAGGCGACGACGGGGUAGCUGGUCNGAGAGGAUGGCCAGCCACAUUGGGACUGAGAGACGGCCCAGACUCCUACGGGAGGCAGCAGUGGGGAAUCUUGCGCAAUGGCCGAAAGGCUGACGCAGCGACGCCGCGUGGGGGAUGAAGCAUUUCGGUGUGUAAACCCCUGUUGCCCGGGACGAAUUCCCGCUUGGCGGGAUUGACGGUACCGGGUGAGGAAGCACCGGCUAACUCCGUGCCAGCAGCCGCAGUAAC
rnacentral:rRNA from 1 species